UUUUCCUGUUUUCAUUUUUAGCCAUUUAGUUCUCAUGGCUCUGUUCCAGGACUCUUUAAUUUGCCAGUAGCUGUUUUUCCUACACAGAUUACAGGAGUAAUUCAUCAGUGAAUGUUUCACUCAGUGGUCCCAUCUAAUGUGUCUUCAGAUGUCCAACUCUUGCCACAAGAAUGACAACUUUUCCACUUCUAUUCAAACAUCUACGAAACUCCUACAAAAUUGGAUCUAGGGCUGAGAAUUUCUUUUAAGGAGUCCAUCUUUCUUGUUUCCAGAUUAGUAAAAACAAGGAACAAUGUGUUUCCUCUUCAUUUCAUUGUAAGAGAGUACUGAAGCCAAAGUUAAAUAUUAAAAU
rnacentral:lncRNA from 1 species